rnacentral:rRNA from 1 species
UGGGGAAUAUUGGACAAUGGGCGAAAGCCUGAUCCAGCCAUGCCGCGUGUGUGAAGAAGGUCUUCGGAUUGUAAAGCACUUUAAGUUGGGAGGAAGGGCAUUAACCUAAUACGUUAGUGUUUUGACGUUACCGACAGAAUAAGCACCGGCUAACUCUGUGCCAGCAGCCGCGGUAAUACAGAGGGUGCAAGCGUUAAUCGGAAUUACUGGGCGUAAAGCGCGCGUAGGUGGUUUGUUAAGUUGGAUGUGAAAUCCCCGGGCUCAACCUGGGAACUGCAUUCAAAACUGACUGACUAGGGUAUGGUAGAGGGUGGUGGAAUUUCCUGUGUAGCGGUGAAAUGCGUAGAUAUAGGAAGGAACACCAGUGGCGAAGGCGACCACCUGGACUAAUACUGACACUGAGGUGCGAAAGCGUGGGGAGCAAACA